UAAAUUAAAAAAAAAAAAAAAAGCAAAACUCUUCAAAAACAAUUAUUUUUUGUAGAGUGAAUUUUUUUCUUUCUGCAAAAUGCUGUAACAAUUCCACUUUCAUGAGACUAUAGUGAGGUUGUCCUAUCAGAAGUAAAAAAAAAAAAAAAAAGCAAAUAUUUAAUGCAAGGUCAAAACAAGUUAAAACUUAAUUUGAAUUUUUCAAAAUUACAUGUGAUAUAUAUAUACACACACAUAUGUAUAUAUACAUAUGCAAAUAUAUGUAUAUGUAAGUAAGGAUUACCCCUUAAAUGAGGUAUCUUUCUUCUGGAAAUUAGCAAGAAAGAGAUAAACACUCAUCAAUCUGUAUUGAUUUAAUGAAGCCUGAUUGGAAGACAGGAAAUGACUUAAGUGACUUCAGGAACAGAGGCCCUUUUAGUUGCUAUUGCUUUAUUCUCAGUUUAUCAUUUGUUUGUAGGUCUUUUAUACAGUUAUUCAUAUAUUUCAGUGAAAUCUGUGCAUGUUUCUUGAUCCACUUCCACUGAUAAAAAGAAUGAAGAUUGUUUCAUCUACACCUUUCAAGUGCAUUUGAUUGUCAAAUUACUAGUAAUGAUCUAAAGAGGGAACUGUAUGAGAGGAGGAGGAAAGUGUCUUCAUCAUCAAUCUCUCACACACUCAGAGGGGAAAAAAAGAAUGUUUUCUUUCAACAUUUAGUGUAUGUCCUUCGGGACAUGAUGCUUUAUCAAGAAAGAGCAAGAGGAAUUCAGUUCCAUCAGUGGAAAACAGAAAAUAAUGAGGAGACAGCAAUGUCUUACGGGAUUGGUGUGUGAAACACACACACAGACACACACACUUUCUCUUUCCUUUCUUCCUGAUUGACUCUACUCUUAUUAACACAAUUCUGAAAUAGUUUCUUAAAUAAUAAGCAGGACUGUGCUAAGAAAUAAAGAUUGAUUUUUCUCUUGUUCUAGAUUAAGGUUUAAAACAUACAUACAGAUUCCAUAAUAAAUUCACUAAUUACCCCUAAAUCAUGUGGUCCAAUUCCAAGCCAGACAAAAUUUAUUUUGAAUUGUUUUAAAUCACUAUUUUCUUUCAUAAGUAAGGAAAAUCCAGCAUUGGCUCUAAUUACCUAUGUGUAUGCAUAUGUUAUAGCUUAAGACAGAACACUAGCUUGCUCUCUGUAAGGAAGACUAGUUAGCAUACUCAAAAACACAUUUUUAUUCCCUUAAGUAAUUACUUAAUUAAUGCCUUCCAUCUUGAUUAUGGCCUUAGUAAUGAAAAUAUCUUUCAUUUUUAAGUAUAUAUGUGAACUUUUCACAUUUCCUAUACCGUAGAAUCAAAGUAGACAGUUUUUUUUAAAAACAAUAAGCAAACAAAAAAAUCACCCUAGGAAUACACAGUCACUACAUCAAGAAACAUAAGCCAUCCAAAAUAAAAAAAAUUUAAUCAUUGAAUUUUAUAAUAAUGAGUACAUUAUUAUAUAUUAAUUUCUAGACUGGAGGAGCCACACAGAAACAUAAUUCCAGUUUUUCUCAUUGGUAAAUUAACAAGGAAAUGAGUAAAUUGAAGCAAUUAGGCAGACAGAGCAGGCUUUAUAAACAUGACAGUUAACAUUCAUGGAGCACUUACUAUUUGUCAAGCACUGUUUUAAGCAUUUUACAUGUUUUCAUUGUAAAUCAUGUAAUCCUCACACCAGCAAUCACAUAAGGUAGGUAGUUUGACCUCAUUCUAAAAUGAAGUCGCAAAAACUAAAAGGCUUGACCAUGGUCGUCCAGCUACUAGAGCCAGGAUUCCAACUCAAGUUCAGGGUGACUUUAGGGCUGCUGGAUCACAAACACAUCUUCACAAAUAAAUAUUUACAAAUCUAAGCUGAUGGAGUUUAUCUGUAACUCCUUUUGUGUUACUAUAUUUUUAGAAACUUUUGUGUGGAGAGAGAACAAAUGAAAUGUUUCAGGUGAAAAGAAGUAUGUCUUGAAUUUCCUCUUCCUCAGGCAAGCUCAGUAUUUUUCCUCUCAAGACCCUCUACUGAUUGAAUGUGGUCCACCCACAGUAUAAAGGAAAAUCUUCUUCAAAGUUUGCUAGUUUAAACAUGAAUCUCAUCUUUAAAUAUAUUCAAAGACAUCUAGCUAGGCACUGUGACAUAGCCAAGUUGACACAUAAAGUAAACCAUCACAACUGUACACUUGUGUGUGUUUGUACAUUUAUAUAUUAUGGUUGAAAACAAAUUAGCAAAAUCCUUAACAGAGAAGAAGGAUUAGCCAACCCUGAAACAAUACCUACUGAGCACCUAUUAUUUGCUAGAAGUCAGACUACAGAAAAGGUCCCAAAUUUCCACAAUCUGGGUGGGAAAAGUUCGAGACUAGAGAGACAGACCAACCAUGCAACACUGUGCUGUGAUUUAAUGAAAAGGUUGGGACAGAGAUCUGUGGGAAGAUGGGAGAAAGAGUAAUGGACUCCCUUAUGCCCGCUCCAGGGUCUGAGAAGAAUCUCAAAGAGGAGACACCUGAGCCCCAUGGAGGAAGAAGACAGUUUCACUGGGAGUGGAGAGCUAGAACAAAGAUGUGAAGACCCAGACAUAAAUGAGAGGAAUUUAAGGAUUUGUACAAAAUCUAAGGAGAUUAGAGCACAGCAUUCAUGAUGGAGAGUGAAGAAAGGUCCUAUUAAUAGUAGGAGAAGAAAUAACGUUUAAAACAGGCCUAUGGAGGCAGGAAAGCCAUUUAAGAGAGAGAGAGAGUUGAACUCUUAAAACUUAGCAAGAUUGGGGGGAAAAUUAGGAGGAAAAACUCAAAAUUGUUUUUUUGAAUUAAAAUGUAUAUAUAUUAUGUGCAAUUUCUAAGGGAGAAGGAAUUCUUUCAACAGUAUAUAUUGAGUACCUACUCUGUAUUGGACUAUAAAGAUGAAUGAGAGAAUAUAAAUGAUUAUGAUGCAUGAUACAUAUAAUAAAAAAAAUGGACAAACAUGAACUUGACAGAGUCAAGAGAGACCGUACAGCGGAGGUUAUACCCAGGUUAAGUUAUGAUAGAUGACUAACAGUAUGAAGAAGAAAACCUGGCAAGAGAGAUAGAAUUCAGAAGGGCACUUAGAUAUGAACAAAAUUUGUGUUCAGGGGUCACAGGUGGUCAGGAGUAUAAAGAGUACAGGAGAGUAAGAACCGGAAGAGGAGUCAGAUUAGGAAGAACUUUGCUUGUAUUUUACUGAAAAACAAUCACAGAAAUAGUGUGAUCUGAUGGUUCUGGCAGAUAUAUGGAGAAAACUAAUUGGGAGUCAUAUUAGUUUCCUAGAGCUGUCAUAACAAAUUACCCCAAACUUUAUGGCAUAAGAAAUUUAAUAAAGGUAUCAACAGGCUACACUCCCUCUGAAGCCUGUAGGGGAGAAUCUUCUCUGUCUCUUCCAGCUUUUGCCGGCUCCUGGCAUUCCUUGGCUUCUGGCAGCAUCACUCUGAUCUCUUCCUCCAUCUCCACAUGGUCUUCUUCCUUAUAUAUGUCUCUCUCUUUUUCUCUCUUACAGGACACUCAGACUCUAAUUUAGAAUGGCCUCAUCUUGAUUCUUACUUUAAGUACAUUUGCAAAGCCUUACUUCCAAAUAAAGGCAAAUCCUAAGAUUCCAGAUGGACAUACAUUUUUGGGAAAAACAAUUCAACCUACAGCAAGAGGCCAUUGCAAUAGCACAUUCAGAGAAGUGUAAUCAUCCCAGACAAAGCAGAGCAGAGGAGAUAAAAUAAGUAAGAAGGCGGUCACAGUAAUAGGAAGUCCAUGUUUGGAGAAAGAAGUGAAGAUAGAAAUUGAAGAAAUUUGCUGGAGAAACCAGGUGGAUUCUAGUACCAGUGGUUGAGAUAGGAACUAUAUAAGUAAUAAUAAAUUUGAAAGAUGGGUUCUGAGGUAUGAAAAAUUUUGAAAAGUUCAGUUUCAUACACUGUAAAUUACUUUGAGAAUGAGAGAAAAAAGUUAUUAAAUGGCUUAGAUGGCUGGGUGUGUGAUGGUGAUACCAUUAACUAUAGUUGGAUAAACAAUGAAAUAAAUUUUUUUUUUAAGAAAAUAAGGUUAGUUUUAAGAAUCAUAAGUUUGAAGGGGAGGUGGUAUAUAGAUGCAAGAGAAGAAGUAGACCAUGAAGCAGGAAAUAGGCACUUGGUGUCCUGGAAAAGUGCUGACAAUGUUUAGCAGUUUAACGGCAGAAGACAAAGGUCUUGUCGGAAACUGAGACACGUGGAAAACAGUGAUAAGAGAGGAGUGUCAGUGAAGUUAAGAAAAGUUUCACUAAGAGAGUGUCUCAACAAGGUGAGAAUUUGGGAUGAUCUCUUCACAUGUUGUUGGAGAUCAUGGUUUGUCUCUGGCCAAGGGGCUGAAUUGCAGCCUGGGUGCCUACACCAUCCGAGGAAGAGUAAAUCCAGACAUAGGGAGUGAAGACACCCAAUACUGUAAGUGAAAAAUCAACUCGUUAAACAAUUCAGAUUGCAAGAUCCCAAAUAAAAAACUAUUUAGGAGUUCCCUUUGUGGCUCAGUGGUUAACGAACCUGACUAGAAUCCAUGAGGACGUGGGUUCCAUCCCUGGCCUUGCUCAGUGGGUUAAGGGUCUGGCACUGCUGUGAGCUGUGGUGUAGAUCGCAGAUGAGGCUCAGGCCCCACGUUGCUGUGGCUGUGGUGUAGGCCAGCAGCUGUAGCUCUGAUUCAGUCCCUAGCCUGGGAACUUCCAUAUGCCG
rnacentral:lncRNA from 1 species